GCGGUCUUAGCUCAGUCGGGAGAGCGUUAGACUGAAGAUCUAAAGGUCCUGUGUUCAAUCCACAGAGAUCGCA
rnacentral:tRNA from 1 species